CCAGUACUUAAAGGAACUGGCCCACGUUGUCUCCUUCUCUAUCAUAUCAAGUCCUCUGGUGAGGUUGGAUGGGCAUAGAGAUGGUGUCUGGGAAACCAAAACAUUCCCCUCUACUUCAUUUAUGCAUAAUGUGGGCAGUCUUGAAUUUAAAUCCAAGUGUGUUGGUUUUUGCGUAAUAUUUAGCUUAAGGUGGCAUUGUUAACUAUGAUCAGCGUGUAGGUACAACGAAGGCCUAUGAAGCACGCGGUGAGCUUCGAGUCUUAAAGGUGGGAAAGCUGGCCGUACUACAGACAUGGGUCUGCAGACUGGUGCAGUGAUGGGUGGGAAAGGCGGCCGUGCUACAGACAUGGUUCGGCAGACUGGUGCAGUGAUGGGUGGGAAAGGCGUCCGUACUACAGACAUGGGUCUGCAGACUGGUGCAGUGAUGGGUGGGAAAGGCGGCCGUACUACAGAAAUGGUUCUGCAGACUGGCAGUGAUGGGUUGGAGAAGCAGCCGCGUUUCAAAAAAUGGUUCUGCAGACUGCUGGAGUGAUCGAUGGACGUGUUGCACUCUGACCUGGUGACAUGCUAGUGAUGCUGGAGGUUCUUCAUGGUGGAAAAGGUUCUGCCAUAUGGACAGGGCCGACGGACUGCGGGGGAAAGGUAGACAGUUGUGGGGGGGCCCCAAGGCAGAGGGGAAGCCCAUAGCAAUAAAAA